AUUGAACGCUGGUGGCAUGCUUUACGCAUGCAAGUCGAACGGUAACAGGCCGCAAGGUGCUGACGAGUGGCGAACGGGUGAGUAAUGCAUCGGAACGUGCCCAGUCGUGGGGGAUAACGCAGCGAAAGCUGCGCUAAUACCGCAUACGAUCUAUGGAUGAAAGCGGGGGACCGUAAGGCCUCGCGCGAUUGGAGCGGCCGAUGUCGGAUUAGGUAGUUGGUGGGGUAAAGGCUCACCAAGCCAACGAUCUGUAGCUGGUCUGAGAGGACGACCAGCCACACUGGGACAGAGACACGGCCCAGACUCCAACGGGAGGCAGCAGUGGGGAAUUUUGGACAAUGGGCGCAAGCCUGAUCCAGCAAUGCCGCGUGCAGGAAGAAGGCCUUCGGGUUGUAAACUGCUUUUGUACGGAACGAAACGGUCCUGGUUAAUACCCGGGGCUAAUGACGGUACCGUGAGAAUAAGCACCGGCUAACUACGUGCCAUCAGCCGCGGUAAUAC
rnacentral:rRNA from 1 species